UUGACCUCAAAUCAGGUAGGACUACCCGCUUGAACUU
rnacentral:rRNA from 1 species